GACGUAGGGCGCGAGCGUUGUCCGGAUUUAUUGGGCGUAAAGAGCUCGUAGGCGGCUUGUUGCGUCGACCGUGAAAACCCGCGGCUUAACUGUGGGCUUGCGGUCGAUACGGGCGGGCUGGAGUUCGGUAGGGGAGACUGGAAUUCCUGGUGUAGCGGUGAAAUGCGUAGAUAUCAGGAGGAAUACCGAUGGCGAAGGCAGGUCUCUGGGCUGACACUGACGCUCAUGCACGAAAGCGUGGGGAGCAAACAGG
rnacentral:rRNA from 1 species